rnacentral:lncRNA from 10 species
CUGGGAGCUGUAGACCGGCGCUGUUCCUAUUCGGCCAUCUUGGCUCGAAAGAGAUGUACAGGUUUUAUGUGGAUAUAAGUUUUUAUUUCCCUGGGAUAAAUGCCCAAAAUGAGAUUGUAGUGUUAUGUGGGUGGACUAUCCUUUUGCUGAGCAGGACUGAAAUAUAAAACAGAAAACCUGAGAGGGAAGAAGUAACGCUAUAUAGAAGACAAUUCAUAAUGUAAAAAGGUCUGCAUGGAAGAGGAUUGAAGAGCCAGAUGACAGAUGAGAGCCAAAAGAUGCUGGCAGAAGACCCAAGACUCCUGGAUCAGAGACAAAAGAUUUAUUACUCACAGCACAGCAAACAGUUCCUUCCAUCAUCUCUCUCCCUCUGCUUGGAGAAGGACCACGAUAUUGAAAUGAGGCCAAAUAAUAACUCUACAAUGGCCGGUAAGUACAAAGAAGAAUCACGUCUUAUUUAAAAUCAAUAGUUAGAAAUGAUUAAAUUUAAUGAGGAAGGCGUGUAAAAAGCCAAGAUAGGCUGAAAGCAAUGCUUCUUGGGCCAAACAGCCAAGCUGUGGAUGCAGAGGAGUAGUUCUUGAAGGAAACUAAAAGUGCUAUCCCAAUAAGCACACAAAUGAUAAGAAAGCAAAUCUUAUUGCUGAAAUGUGUAACUACAACAUUCCCUUAAGGCAAAGCCUAAUCCAGAGCAAGGCCCUAGCUCUCUUCAACUCUAUGAAGGCUAAGCUGUAGAAAAAUAGUUAGAGGCUAACAGAAAUUGGUUCAUGAGGCUUAAGCAAUGAAGCCAUCUCCAUAACAUCAAAGUACAAGGUGAAGCAGCAAAUGCUGGUAUAAAAGCUACAGCAAGUUAUCUGAAAAAUCUAGCUGAGAUCAUUGAUGAAGGCGG